rnacentral:lncRNA from 1 species
GAACUUUGAGCUUGGUUGGCUGCUCCAGAAGCCCAGGUAUCUGAGUGACCUCAGCCCCCACUAAAGAAAAUCUGCAAAGGUGUGGCGUUUUGCUUCUUUCACCGUGCCGAGGAUCAAACCCAACACCUUGCAUAUGCGACGCAAGAACUCUUCCCCUAAGCUCCAUCCAAAGUCCUACUGAUGAGUUUACCAGGGGCCCACAAGACAAAGAAGGGAUGGAGAACAUCUUCAAGGUGCUUCAGGAUUGUUUGCACAACGCUGACAAUUCUUCCAGGGAUAUUUAUGAGCUGCGUCCCGCUGAAAUAAAUAAGCUAAAGCCCUAUCCCCCAGUACUUUAUAACUAUAUCUUGAGAUAGGGCCUGUAAAGAGGUGACUGAGCGAGAAUGAGGACAUUAGGGUAGCGCCCUAAUCCAAUAGGACACCAAGUUCUUUGAAGAGGAAAUGCAGACACAUAAAACAUACAACAGAAUCAUGCACGCACAAAGGAAAAGCCACGAGUACACAGCUGGAAGGUGCCCAUAGGCGCACCAAGGACAG